AAUUAAGGCCAUGCAUGUCUGAGCAUGCGCUGAAGUAAAGUGAAGCCGCGAAUAGCUCAUUACAACAGCCGUUGUUUCUUGGAUCUCUUCUCUACUUGGAUAACUGUGGUAAUUCUAGAGCUAAUACAUGCAACCAAGCCCUGAACUUGCGUGACGGGCGCAUUUAUUAGAACAAAACCAUCUGGCUUCGUGCCAUGCGUUGGUGACUCUGAAUAACUGAGCCGAUCGCACGGGCUCGUCCCGGCGACGUAUCUUUCAAGUGUCUGCCUUAUCAGGUUUCGUUGGCGGUUUAUGUGACCGCCAAGCCUGUAACGGGUAACGGAGGAUCAGGGUCUGACUCCGGAGAGGGAGCCUGAGAAACGGCUACCACUUCUAAGGAAGGCAGCAGGCGCGCAAAUUACCCACUCCUGGCUCAGGGAGGUAGUGACGAAAAAUACCAAGGUCAGGCUCAUCGAGCUUGACCAUUGGAAUGAGAACAACCCAAAUCCUUUAACGAGGAUCUAGUGGAGAAAGGUCUCUGAUUAGGAUACCUUUGGAGGGCUAGGUCUGGUAAGUCUGGACGAGACAUUUGGGUCCCGUUAACCAGGAUCUAUUGGAGGGGAA
rnacentral:rRNA from 1 species